AUGAACGCUGGCGGCGUGCUUAACACCUGCAAGUCGAACGAGGCACCUUGAUUCGAUUCUUCGGAUGAAGAUCUUGGUGACUGAGUGGCGGACGGGUGAGUAACGCGUGGGUAACCUGCCUCAUACAGGGGGAUAACAGUUAGAAAUGACUGCUAAUACCGCAUAAGACCACAGCACCGCAUGGUGCAGGGGUAAAAACUCCGGUGGUAUGAGAUGGACCCGCGUCUGAUUAGGUAGUUGGUGGGGUAACGGCCUACCAAGCCGACGAUCAGUAGCCGACCUGAGAGGGUGACCGGCCACAUUGGGACUGAGACACGGCCCAAACUCCUACGGGAGGCAGCAGUGGGGAAUAUUGCACAAUGGGGGAAACCCUGAUGCAGCGACGCCGCGUGAGCGAUGAAGUAUUUCGGUAUGUAAAGCUCUAUCAGCAGGGAAGAAAAUGACGGUACCUGACUAAGAAGCACCGGCUAAAUACGUG
rnacentral:rRNA from 1 species